CGCGUAGGUGGUCUGAUAAGGGUGUGGUGAAAGCCCGGGGCUCAACCCCGGGUCGGCCGUGCCGACUGUUAGACUAGAGUACUGUAGGGGCAGGCGGAAUUCCGGGUGUAGCGGUGGAAUGCGUAGAGAUCCGGAGGAAGACCGGUGGCGAAGGCGGCCUGCUGGGCAGUUACUGACACUGAGGCGCGACAGCGUGGGGAAGCAAACA
rnacentral:rRNA from 1 species